CAGUCGAACGAGCGAGAGAGAGCUUACUUUCUCAAGCGAGUGGCGAACGGGUGAGUUACGCGUGAGGAACCUGCCUCAAAGAGGGGGACAACAGUUGGAAACGACUGCUAAUACCGCAUAAGCCCACGACCCGGCAUCGGGUAGAGGGAAAAGGAGCAAUCCGCUUUGAGAUGGCCUCGCGUCCGAUUAGCUAGUUGGUGAGGUAACGGCCCACCAAGGCGACGAUCGGUAGCCGGACUGAGAGGUUGAACGGCCACAUUGGGACUGAGACACGGCCCAGACUCCUACGGGAGGCAGCAGUGGGGAAUAUUGCACAAUGGGGGAAACCCUGAUGCAGCGACGCCGCGUGGAGGAAGAAGGUCUUCGGAUUGUAAACUCCUGUUGUUGAGGAAGAUAAUGACGGUACUCAACAAGGAAGUGACGGCUAACUACGUGCCAGCAGCCGCGGUAAAACGUAGGUCACAAGCGUUGUCCGGAAUUACUGGGUGUAAAGGGAGCGCAGGCGGGAAGACAAGUUGGAAGUGAAAUCCAUGGGCUCAACCCAUGAACUGCUUUCAAAACUGUUUUUCUUGAGUAGUGCAGAGGUAGGCGGAAUUCCCGGUGUAGCGGUGGAAUGCGUAGAUAUCGGGAGGAACACCAGUGGCGAAGGCGGCCUACUGGGCACCAACUGACGCUGAGGCUCGAAAGUGUGGGUAGCAAACAGGAUUAGAUACCCUGGUAGUCCACACUGUAAACGAUGAUUACUAGGUGUUGGAGGAUUGACCCCUUCAGUGCCGCAGU
rnacentral:rRNA from 1 species